GAUAUACCCCUCCAUCUUUUCCUUCUUCUUUCUGGAACGCAACUCUUUCUCUUUUCAGUUCCUCACCAGCUUCAUCGCGCCAUCGUCACCAUCAUCCCGCCACUAGCAGCAACUACCAUCGAUGUCAAUUUCUAUAGAAGCUAAAGUUCAUCCAUUAAUCAAUGAAGGAUAUGAAGAUUUAAGUUGACUGUUUCAAGCAAAUCAUGAUUAAUAUGAAGAUUUUACCUAUAAAAUCUCAAACCCCUUAUUCACAAAUCCAAUUUCUAGGGUUGCAAAAUGAACAUUCACAGUUACAAUCUGAAGAUGCAAUCUUGCAUAUUUACUGUUGGUUUUAAUUCAAUAUGUACUCGCACCAAGAAAUUCUCGAUUGUGGGAUUAUGCCAUAUAAGGCUCAGGAUGCAGAGCAGCUUUCGAAUAUGGGGAGUUGGUUGGAGUAAGCAAUUUAGCUCCAUCAGGUGGAAACAGAAAGCAACAAAUAUGAUGCACUUCAGUUCUUCUCUUCACUACGACUUUGUUAAUGCAUUUUCGGACUUGGGACACCAGUUAAUAUGGGAGAUGAUCUGGGUGAUCGAUACUGCUUGAGUUGUGAUGGCGAAAACAAUUUUCAGGCUGGCAGCGGGUGGUGUUGGAUUCUCCAAGUCCAAUCCAGCACUUCACUUCCAUGAUGGUACUAAUUCAAUCUUCACAGCGAAAAACUUUUGGCAACUUCCAGCAAUGAUUUUGAUGCAGAUCAAAUGAUGUUCAAGAUUUUAUGGUUGACACAAUGUCAAGAAGUAGCUGCGUCAUAAUAGUAGUUCGUGUGAUAGAUUAAUAUUGUUUAUAAAUGCAAGUUAUUGCAAAAUAUCAGUUUCUUCAGAAACCAGGAGACCUAGCUUUUAUUCCCAUUUUUCUUGCAACAACAAAAUAUUUCCCUGCAUGCAGUAUGCAACACUAAUUUUGUUUGGGCAAUUAAAGUAAUGGAAUGUUA